UUUUUCUCUUGUUAUGUUUUAGGUGUGAAGUGAACCCAGUCAGCAACGCAUCGAUUGGAGAGGAGCUUGGUAGACUAUACUGAUUCACUCCUGUCAUGGACCACAGCUUUCUAGUAUGGAACUUGACAGGUAUGGAACAAAUUUUUGGAGGAGAUACAUAAGACGAGUUCUGCAAUGUAUUGUAGAAGCCUUUGAUGUUGGUAUCCUGAUUAUAUGAUUGAUCUCCUGAGUUGUUACCUUAUCUCAAGGACGGACCACAUCCUUCAACACAGUGGGCAGAGUGAGAGAGAACAAGAGAGGAGCUGUAGAUUGUCACCAGAAAAUUUGAGCGAGAAAAGUGAGUUCUCAACACCCGAGAUCAUCACUGAUGUGUUGCCGAGCGAAGCGAGUUGUCACCAUCUGAGACCAUCACUCUUUCGCCGAGCGAAGUGAGUUCUCAACACCUGAGAUUAUCACUGUGUGUCGCCGAGCGAAGCGAGCUCUCACCCCCUGUUGCAGUCUUCAUUCAUCUGGAUUGCGCGGACGCAGAAGAGAGGGACAGACACACCAGAGGAGAAUGAUGGCCAGCUCCACAGAAGAAUAGUGAGAUGGAGGAUAUCGAGAAGAAGCAGAUUACAAAAUAUUGGAACAAAGUGACAAGUGCAAAAUGAUGAGACUCUAAUUUAGUGCAAUGAUUGAUUUAAAGUGAAAAAGUCAAGUGUGAGAAUGGAAGGACUCUAAUCUGGUUUCACUCACACCAAGGACAUUGAAAUGUUUUGUUGUUGUGUUAUGUUUUUCAGCUUUUGCAUGUUGUCAUGUUUUUUUAGCUUUUUCUUGUUCUGAAAUAAAUGAGCAUGGGGUGUGUUCUAUUUUGGGGUGGGGGGGCUUUUCAGGCAUCGAUGCAGGCAGGCAGAAUGAGGAGGAGGGGAGAGGACAUCGCAGAACUUCAAAAAAGGUAAAAGUCAGCUCUCAGCCGAUUUUAGCAGUUCAAUCAAAUUCUCUCUUCUCAUACUAUUCACAUACUUUUCAAUUUAUUUCAGUUUUCAUCAUUUCAGUCAUUUGUCUUUACAGUAUUUUAAAUUUUCAUACAAGUUUAUAAUUAUUUACAAGUGGCAUCUUUCGAUGUAACUUGUGAAUUCUUUUGAAUCAAUUUUUCUUUUAAAUAUUCAAUUUGUAAAUACGUUCAAUUCUAAAGUCUGACUUUUGUAAUUAAAUUUGUAUUGUUGAACUGUUCAAUUCGGUUGUGGGCGACUUGUAUGAAAUUGGUGAUGCAUGCCUAGACCAUCAACCCCUUUUUAGUAGUAGUUUCUUUUCAGUUCUUCUUUCUAUUAGCUUUGUUUUUAAAAUUUCAAUUUUAUUUUCUCACUGUUUAGUUUCAGGUUUUAUUUAUUUGCUUUGGAGGCGAACCUUCAGUUCAAAUUCAAUAUCGAAGUAUAUGUCGAUACAUGGUUAUUUUUUGUUUUUUGAGCUUUUAAAAUGUCCCUUCCAUUUUUUAGUUUCAGGUUUUAUUUAUUUGCUUUGGAGGCGAACCUUCAGUUCAAAUUCAAUAUCGAAGUAUAUGUCGAUACAUGGUUAUUUUUUGUUUUUUGAGCUUUUAAAAUGUCCCUUCCAUUUUUUAGUUUCAGGUUUUAUUUAUUUGCUUUGGAGGCGAACCUUCAGUUCAAAUUCAAUAUCGAAGUAUAUGUCGAUACAUGGUUAUUUUUUGUUUUCUUGAGCUUUUAGGAAAUGUCCCUUCCAUUUUUUAUUUUCAGUUUUUUUUAGUUCUUUCUGUUCUAGGAUUGACCCUUUUCAUAAUUCUUUGCUAGAUUAGUUAAUGGACCCUCAGUCCAUUAAAUACUCAGAAUUAGUACUUUCUCUUAAUUACAAUUCCCUUUCUUCUAAUAUAAUGUUAGUUUCAUUGAAUUGUUAAAUAUUUUGUUGGGUGUUGCCACACUGUUUGCAUUUUUUCAGGUGGAAAUUGUCUUCAUCUUCUUUCUCCUGUAUUUUUCUUUCUUGUGUUGUUGUUGCAUCUUUCAAAAUAUUGUUAGCUAACUUCUAAAAACUGCCAUAUCUUCUGUAUAUUUUUGUAGAGUGUAUUUUCAAUUGUAAAAUGUGCAUGUAAUAAUCCUCCUUCCUUUACCUCAUAUUCAUUUUCUGCUUUGCCUUUCCCUCAUCCUCUCCAGUGUAAAUACCUUACCUACUUAGUUCUUCUGACUCCAACUCUCAUGUAGUAUUUCACCUCAACUCAUCCUUCCUCCACUACACUCACUCACCACUUCCUCUAAAUACAAAUCUACUUUCACUCCUUCUCAUUCCUUAAUUUUUUUCUAACUGGCAUUCUCGUUCCAUUGCAUUCUUACUUCCUUUUCCUUACUCCCACGAUCAUUCCCAUUUCUGCAUCCUUAUCCUGAUAUUUUUCAUCUUCUUCCACAAUCCUCCGCUAUCAUUCCUUACUUUGUAUCCUUAUCAUGGUAUUUUUUGUCUCCUUCCACAAUUCACUACUAUCAUUCCUACCCCUCCCUUCAUCCAUAUCCUGGUAUUUUUUGUCUCCUUCCACAAUUCCUUGCUAUCAUUCCUACCCCUCCCUUAAUCCAUAUCCUGGUAUUCCUUCCACAAUUCCUUGCUAUCAUUCCUAUUCCUGUAUCCCUGGUAAUUUUUGUCUCUAUCCACAAUUCACUACUAUCAUUCCUAACCCACAAUUCACUACUAUCAUUCCUAACCCACAAUCCAUAUCCUGGUAUUUUUUGUGUCUCCAUCCACAAUAACCAGUCUGCUAUUCCCCAACUAUAUCCUAUUACUUCAGCUUGCUCAUCCUCCACUAUCAUGAUAGCUCAUCUUAUUGUCACCCACCCCCCACAACGUUUCAUACUGCAAUAUCUUCCAAUCCUCUUUAGCUAUCAUCACUUUAGCAAUCCCUUUCUAUUCACAAUUGCCAUCACUACAAUCUAUUCCAUGCACAACCCCUCCACCCACCCAUCAUUCAUUUGACUGAUGUCUUACUUUAGUAAUCACUCCUCUCCUUAUCUUGAUAUUAAUUUUGUCCUUCAGUCCCCUAUUUUCUUCUUUGCACUUUUUUUGGCAAUAAUUAAGUGUAGGUAAUUAAUAUCAAUGAUAAUUAGUAUUCAAUAUUCUGACAGAUGCAACAACAAUUAAGUGUGGCAACACUCUUUUAGUGUAGACUGCUUGUGUGUCCCCCCCCCUCAUGAUGGUCUAGACAUGCACUUACCUCUUUCAUCAAUCUUCUCACUCCUUUUGGAGGGGCCACCCCCUCUUCGGUAGAAGUGGGAGUUACCCCUUCAGAAGGGGAACCACUCUUUUUUCCCCCCUUUGGGGAACUUUCCCUUCCCCUUCCGGGGGAGGAAAAGCCCCCAUUGGGGGAUUUGACCCUCUCCCUUCUGGGGAGGGAAAACUGUCACCUGGCUCUUUGUGGUCCAGUCAGGCUCAAUGCGCCCUUUGGCGUGGGUGGGACCACUCACUACAUAGGGGGGGGCCAGGAACACAUGGAGCCAGGUGCCAGUACUUGGACGGAAAGAUUAGUGCCCGUUUUUUUCUUGGGGACUUUUCGACAGUGAACGUUUCACUGUAAACCUGAAUCUAAAUGAAGAGGAGGAAAUAAAAAAAAAAAAAAAAAAAAAAAAAAAAAAAAAAAAAA